GAAUUGAAAGCUAAAAUUCUAAGCAGCGACCUUGUAAGUCGAAGAUAGGGGAUACCCUCAAUUCU
rnacentral:tRNA from 1 species